UACAGAGGUCCCAAGCGUUGUUCGGAUUCACUGGGCGUAAAGGGUGCGUAGGUGGUUAGGUAAGUCCGAUGUGAAAUCUCCAGGCUCAACCUGGAAAUGGCAUUGGAUACUAUCUAGCUUGAGGAGUGGAGGGGGGACUGGAAUUCUCGGUGUAGCAGUGAAAUGCGUAGAUAUCGAGAGGAACACCAGUGGCGAAGGCGAGUCCCUGGACAAUUCCUGACACUGAGGCACGAAAGCUAGGGGAGCAAACAGG
rnacentral:rRNA from 1 species